GCGGUCUCGGGAGCGCUCAGAGGGAAGGGCUGAUUAAAUUCAUUUAAACAAAUGCCAUCUGUUAUUGAGCCUGCGUGUGCCCGCCAGGUCCUGCGGGAGCCACACAGGACUAAAUGGCCCUGCCUACCGGGCACAUAUAGAUUUCCCAGGGAGCCUGCCCCUCCAUGUUGGAGUGGCUCCGCGCUGGGCGGUCACCGGGCAGGGGCGCUCACCAGGGGAGCCCUUUGAUCCUCUGUCCUAGGAAAAGUUUUACAGCGUUUUGUUCUGAGUUAACCUUAGGCCAGGAAAUUAACACUGACGCGGUACAGUUAAUCAGCCACAGAUCUUACUCAGAGUUUGCAAAUUAGCCCACAGAUGUCCUUUUUCUGGUCCAGGAUCCUGCAUUUAACUCUCAUGCCCCCUUAGUUUCCUCCAGUCUGCAUCUCGAGGAAGUUUUAGCUCGUAGGUUUGGGGGAUUCCCUUUCUCAACAGCUUUACAAAUGCAGGUCCCCCUUCGGGGACCUCUGCUCCGGAAUACAAUACUGAUACUGAUAAUAAUACUGUUUCUAGUAAUUCCUAGUAAUGGUGAAUGUCUCUUAGAUGCUUCGUGUACCAGACGCCGUUCAUCAUGUUACAUUUCGCAUCAUGUGAACCUCACAACGAGCCUGUGAGUUGGGUUCCGUUACCGUCCAAAUCUUUCAGCAGAGGAAGCGGGCACAGAGAACUUAGGCGACAGAGCGGCUAAGCUGCGGAGCCGGGAUUCAAACCCACGCAGGUGGGCUCCAGAAGCCCCACGGGUCUGGAACCGCCGUGGUCGUACUUCCUCCGGGGGCCGAUGGUGGUUCUGUGAUUGCAGACUGCGGGGCGCUGCGACACGGCGGACGAGAUCCGGGACACAGGUGGUCAGAGCAGGGCUGUUACAGAGUUCUGUCCACAGAGGAGGAAGUCCUGUCCCCGGCUAGAGAAACUUCCCGGAGCAGGUGGCAAGUCAGCUCAUCCAAUACUCACAACCCCAGGUGAUGUCUGCCGGGAAGUGGGGACCUCCCAGGAGAGAGCUUCCUUGUUCCCCACAGGCUGAGUGCAGACGAGGCUGUGAGGCCAGAAGGGCAGGCCUGAGCAGGGCAUGUGAGGGGCCUCCAGUGCCCAGCCAAGGAUCGCGGUCUGCUCCCUGCGGGGAGGGGGAGAUCUGAGGCAGGGGAUUUCGCAAAGAUGGAGCUCCGGGCUGAAGAGUGAAACGACGUGUUCCUGAGCAGUGGGCACACGAGAGGGUAAGUGUGAGGGCCCAGAGUCAGGACCGUCCCCUCUGGCCAUGGGGGUCAGGGCAGGCUGCCCGGGGGGCACUUCCGUUAGAUCCCGAGAAGCAGGUGGGGUUGGGACAGGUGAAGAAAAGAGACUCGGAGCCAGAUACAGGGACAGAUUUUCUCCCCUGUGCUUGAAGAAGUGUAGAUUUUAAUUGAUAGCCGUGGAAGCCUGUUGAACUGGGACUGGCAGUGUCAGAGGACAGGUCGGCCAGGGGACUGCGGGGGGCAGGAGUUGGAAACAGUGAAAUUGAGAACAGGACGUAUGAUCCGGGGAGAUGAACGAGCCGGAUCGUGCGUGACGCCAGGCGAGCGGCUCACGUCCAAGCUCGUGCCCUUUUGUGGCUCAGAGCGAGGUCCAGGCUUUACCGUUGAGGCAAAUUCGGUGGGGCUGGCCAACCUUGAACAUGUCUCACGGGUUAAUUAGUUUAGGUUUUCCUGCUCUUCCAAGAUUUCACUCUCACAGCCAUAGCUGCCUCGCUGCCAGCGGGAAGCCGUAGGCAGAUCCAAGACGGCCGGUGGGUGAAGUGCAUCGAAAUGCAUCCGUCCAAAAAUUCUACAAGUCUGUUACCAAGUGACAGUGUUUACUGCCGUGCAACAAAAGUUUGUUUCAAAUGACCUUGAAGGAAGUUGGACCGCCUCCCGUGUCAGCCACGAACAGAUGGAAAUGUGCGCGCAGACGGCAAGAGAAGAAUUUAUUUUGAAAGCUCUUGAAAAAUCAUGUCUCCUACCAGUGUCAGAACACGUAUCAAUGUAAGAAUACACUCUUCUGGCAUAAACAAUGAGAAUCUUAUUUUACUCCCGACAAACAAUGUUUGUUAUGAAACCA